rnacentral:rRNA from 1 species
GAUGAACGCUAGCGGCAGGCUUAAUACAUGCAAGUCGAGGGGUAGCAAGAUUGUAGCAAUACAAUUGUUGACGACCGGCAAACGGGUGCGGAACACGUACACAACCUUCCUACAAGUGGGGAAUAGCCCAGAGAAAUUUGGAUUAAUACCCCGUAACAUAGCGAUGUGGCAUCACAUUGCUAUUAUAGCUUCGGCGCUUGUUGAUGGGUGUGCGGCUGAUUAGAUAGUUGGCGGGGUAACGGCCCACCAAGUCUACGAUCAGUAGCUGAUGUGAGAGCAUGAUCAGCCACACGGGCACUGAGACACGGGCCCGACUCCUACGGGAGGCAGCAGUAAGGAAUAUUGGACAAUGGACGCAAGUCUGAUCCAGCCAUGCCGCGUGAAGGAUUAAGGUCCUCUGGAUUGUAAACUUCUUUUAUAAGGGACGAGAAAGGGUCUUUCUAGAUCGUCUGACGGUACCUUAUGAAUAAGCACCGGCUAACUCCGUGCCAGCCGCCGCCGUAAGAC